UACGUAGGGGGCAAGCGUUAUCCGGAUUUACUGGGUGUAAAGGGAGCGUAGACGGCGGUGCAAGUCUGGAGUGAAAGGCAGGGGCCCAACCCCUGGACUGCUCUGGAAACUGUAGUGCUGGAGUGCAGGAGAGGUAAGUGGAAUUCCUAGUGUAGCGGUGAAAUGCGUAGAUAUUAGGAGGAACACCGGUGGCGAAAGCGGCUCUCUGGCCUGUAACUGACACUGAGGCUCGAAAGCGUGGGGAGCAAACAGG
rnacentral:rRNA from 1 species